rnacentral:rRNA from 1 species
UACGUAGGGGUGCGAGCGUUGUCCGGAGUUACUGGGCGUAAAGCGCACGCAGGCGGUCUGCUAAGUUUGGAGUGACAGUUGGUGGCUUAACUGCCAAAGUGCUUCGAAAACUGACAGACUUGAGGGCUUCAGAGGGACACGGAAUCCGGGUGGAGUGGUGAAAUGCGUAGAGAUCCGGAGGAACACCAAAGGCGAAGGCAGUGUCCUGGGGAGUACCUGACGCUCAGGUGCGAAAGCCAGGGGAGCGAACGGG